rnacentral:rRNA from 1 species
AACGAACGCUGGCGGCGCGCCUAAUACAUGCAAGUCGAGCGAGAAGACGUAGCAAUACGUUUGUAAAGCGGCGAACGGGUGAGGAAUACAUGGGUAACCUACCCUCGAGUGGGGAAUAACUAGCCGAAAGGUUAGCUAAUACCGCGUACGCUCCUUGGACUUCGGUUCAGGGAGGAAAGCGAUACCGUGGGUAUCGCGCUCUUGGAUGGGCUCAUGUCCUAUCAGCUUGUUGGUGAGGUAACGGCUCACCAAGGCUUCGACGGGUAGCUGGUCUGAGAGGACGAUCAGCCACACUGGCACUGCGACACGGGCCAGACUCCUACGGGAGGCAGCAGUAAGGAAUAUUGCGCAAUGGGCGAAAGCCUGACGCAGCGACGCCGCGUGGGGGAUGAAGGUCUUCGGAUUGUAAACCCCUUUCGGGAGGGAAGAUGGAACGAGCAAUCGUUCGGACGGUACCUCCAGAAGCAGCCACGGCUAACUUCGUGCCAGCC